CUCUUGCAUCAGGGAGUUGGACAGCACAGGGAUGAAAGAGUGGAGAUGCUGGUUAACUCUUGCAUCAGGGAGUUGGACAGCACAGGGAUGAAAGAGUGGAGAUGCUGGUUAACUCUUGCAUCAGGGAGUUGGACAGCACAGGGAUGAAAGAGUGGAGAUGCUGGUUAACUCUUGCAUCAGGGAGUUGGACAGCACAGGGAUGAAAGAGUGGAGAUGCUGGUUAACUCUUGCAUCAGGGAGUUGGACAGCACAGGGAUGAAAGAGUGGAGAUGCUGGUUAACUCUUGCAUCAGGGAGUUGGACAGCACAGGGAUGAAAGAGUGAAGAUGCUGGUUAACUCUUGCAUCAGGGAGUUGGACAGCACAGGGAUGAAAGAGUGGAGAUGCUGGUUAACUC